AACGAACGCUGGCGGCAGGCUUAACACAUGCAAGUCGAACGCCCCGCAAGGGGAGUGGCAGACGGGUGAGUAACGCGUGGGAAUCUACCGUACCCUACGGAAUACCGCAUGGAAACGUGUGCUAAUACCGUAUACGCCCUUAGGGGGAAAGAUUUAUCGGGGUAUGAUGAGCCCGCGUUGGAUUAGCUAGUUGGUGGGGUAAAGGCCUACCAAGGCGACGAUCCAUAGCUGGUCUGAGAGGAUGAUCAGCCACAUUGGGACUGAGACACGGCCCAAACUCCUACGGGAGGCAGCAGUGGGGAAUAUUGGACAAUGGGCGCAAGCCUGAUCCAGCCAUGCCGCGUGGGUGAUGAAGGUCUUAGGAUUGUAAAGCUCUUUCACCGAUGAAGAUAAUGACGGUAGUCGGAGAAGAAGCCCCGGCUAACUUCGUGCCAGCAGCCGCCGUAAUAC
rnacentral:rRNA from 1 species